rnacentral:rRNA from 1 species
CCUACGGGAGGCAGCAGUGAGGAAUAUUGGUCAAUGGACGAAAGUCUGAACCAGCCAUGCCGCGUGCAGGAUGACGGCUCUAUGAGUUGUCAACUGCUUUUGUACAAGAGUAAACCUGAAUACGUGUAUUCAGCUGAAAGUACUGUAAGAAUAAGGAUCGGCUAACUCCGUGCCAGCAGCCGCGGUAAUACGGAGGAUCCAAGCGUUAUCCGGAUUUAUUGGGUUUAAAGGGUGCGUAGGCGGAUGGAUAAGUUAGAGGUGAAAUGUCGGAGCUUAACUCGUGAACUGCCGUUAAUACUGUGUAUCUAGAGAGUAGAUGCGGUAGGCGGAAUGUGUGGUGUAGCGGUGAAAUGCUUAGAGAUCAUACAGAACACCGAUUGCGAAGGCAGCUUACCAAUCUAUAUCUGACGUUGAUGCACGAAAGCGUGGGGAGCAAACAGGAUUAGAUACCCGAGUAGUC